GAACAACACAAAUUACUUAUAAUAGUAUCCAGAAUAACCAAAGUAAAAAUAUAAUUUUUGUGAAGAGCAUAAAGCAAUAAACUCUACAAACAAAAGCAAGGGAGUGCUAAAUAUAGGAUUUAGAGUGAUGAUUAUUUCAAGUGGGUGAAGAUACUGGGAUGGAACGGGGACUCUGUACAGUUAGAGGCUAUUGUUAAGAGUCUAAUUUUUGUUUUGUGGGUACUUAUUAUUAAAAUAGGGAGAGAGUGGAGGGAUGGAUAAUAGAUAGAUAGGUAGAUGCAGGCCAUAUUUUAAAAAACAGCCUUCAUUUUCCUAUUCAGGUUGCCCAUUUUGCAGAUUACAGCACUUUACAAAUGGAUCCUGUCACUAGGAAAUACUGGGGUCACCAGGGCCAGAAUCAUAGGCCUAGCACCACCCAACCAUGUCUCUGUGUCUUCCUUCCUCUAGGAAGAGCCAGAACACGAGUAUGAGUGGAAGCAGGGCAGAACUGACACUCAGCUGCAACUUGCCAUUGUGGCAGGCCAGCCUCUGUCUGUGCUCUUAAUUGCAUGCCUUUUGCACUUCAUUGGGACCCUUUUCUGGUUGUUCAGCAUUUUUGACAUUUUGCCUGGUGUGGGAAAAGCUACCCAAGCUCAUUCAUUGACAGGCUAAUCAACCACGUUCCCAUGCAGCAGCCAUAACCACAAUCAACUUGUACUUGGGUUGAUAAUUACAAAGAGGAGGAAAGGAGAUAACUGUAGGUUCAAAGAGAUAAUACCUUUUCUUGUGGUCAGUUAGAUCUGUAUGGGAAGUGAAGAAUUUUAAGUCAGAAAGUGGCUCCACAUUUCAUGGGUCUGCUCAGCUCUGUUUUUGCAGUAGUUCUUGGUGUAAGGUGUGUCAUCACCUCUCAUCUCUGCUCCUGAUUUUAUUUUAUUUUAUUUAUUUUUUUUGUCUUCUGUCCACUUUGGGCCACAGUGACUUCAGACCCUUGAGACACAAAGGUAAUAGCCACUGUUUAUACUACAACCUUCUGCUUUUUAGUUGGGAGCCUACAGGGCAUGGGUGGUUAACUUCAGGUGUAUAAGAGAUAUGACAAAGAAGUACAGUGGCUCUUGAGUCAGGAUAUCUGAGAUCACCGUUUACUAGUACAAUGAUUCUGGGCCAGUACAAAUCUGUAUCAGCUUCUCAUCCUUUUCUUAAAAGAAUCAUCCUAAGGAUCUCAAGAUGAUGUGCAUGAAAGUCCCCAUAGGAUGAAAGAAAUUCAUUUAAAAGUAAUGUAUAAAACUUCCUUAAAAAAAAGUUGCAUUUGAUUCAGAAUAUUUUAGAGUUUGAAAUCCUUUAGGGGAGUUUCAUUUUGACAUCUGUUUGUGAUCCUUGUGUGGUAUGAAGGUGAGUCUCUGUCCCCUCUGUAAAGAGACCUCAGUGAAAUGGAGCUUUCCAGGCAGUGGAAAGUUAAAGGAUGAUGUCGGAGAGAUAGGUAAAGAGAGAAAGGUUGUUUUGACUGCAGUAACUCUAAUGUGGUUAUAGUGAGGAAGAGCUUAGUUUCCCUAAAUAUAGCUUUAGUGGUUAUAAAUUUUUGGAUGGUGGUAAAAUGUUUAAAAAAUUAACCACUUGCUGGUGCAUAGUUUGUCAAUGACAGUGACCAAGAAUUCUGGGGAUCAUGAGUUAGAAAGCCUGCGUCAGAAGGUAUAUAUAGUUAAUUUAUGCAUAAGACCUUGUAUGAAAAAGUUGUAUUUGAAAGAGAAAGCUGAGAUUUUGCAUUAAAAAUCUGAAAAUAUCUUAUUUGGAAGUUUAAAAAUAUUUCAAUACUUAAUAUCUUUCCUAAUACUUCUGUUUUAUUUUAAAAUCAUAAGUAUAUAAGGAUUCCCCCACCCCAUCUCCUCCAGUUCACCCCACUGUGCCAUUUUCCCUGAGUGUUGUGAGAUGACAGCAUUGGGAAGCAAUGAUUUAAAGAAUUGUCACUGGCUACCUAUCUUGUCAUAGAUUUUUCCAAGGGCCUGGCUAGUAUCUUGCUUUCAUCAGCUUAACCCAUUGCCAGGAGUUUUUUAUGUCUGUUUUUUUUGUGUUAGGAAUAAAUUUUGCUCUAAAGUUCUUAAAUACUUGUAAAUCAAAUAGCUAUUAGGUUGUAUGGAGACAGAGAUCGUGGAUAGCAAAUAGGAAUUUCUUAAUUCACUCCGACCUCAAUUUUACCCCUGGGAAAACAGCCCAAGCCACAUGACCCUUAGAAUAAAAAAUCAUAGGUGAUCAAAAACAAAAUGUUUCUGGAGUUCCUGUAGUGGCUCAGGUUUCUGCAGAAAUGUAGGUUCGAUCUCUGGCCCUGCCCUGCACAGUGGGUUAAAAGAUCUGGUGUUGGCGUAGGUGUGGUGUUGGUUGCAGCCGCAGCUCAGAUUCAGUCCCUGGCCCAGGAACUUACAUAUGCUGCAGGUGUUACCAAAAAAAUUUUUUUUUCCUUAGUAGCUGUUGUUUUAGAAGCUUCUCUUGAUUUUGUAGAAAAUGGAGGUGGUUGCCUUGCAAUAGGAACUCAGGG
rnacentral:lncRNA from 9 species